rnacentral:rRNA from 1 species
UACGUAGGGCGCAAGCGUUGUCCGGAAUUAUUGGGCGUAAAGAGCUCGUAGGCGGUCUGUCGCGUCGGCUGUGAAAACCCGAGGCUCAACCUCGGGCCUGCAGUCGAUACGGGCAGACUAGAGUGCUGUAGGGGAGACUGGAAUUCCUGGUGUAGCGGUGAAAUGCGCAGAUAUCAGGAGGAACACCGGUGGCGAAGGCGGGUCUCUGGGCCGAUAUCGACGCUGGAGGAGCGAAAGCGUGGGGAGCGAACAGG